UAAGGAUAUCCUGUCAAAAACUGACUAGCUAUGCACUAGUCGGUUUUGGUUUGCUUUUUGGCUAAUA